ACUGACCGUCGCCGACGUGGGCCCCAGUACCCGAGCCAUCCUGCCUGUCCCGUGGUCUGGUCCCAGCGCUAUCCAUUCGCGUCGCCGGUGCGCAACCAGCAAUCUGAGCUGCAGGGGCGGUGGGCUGCCCUGGGCCCCGGAGGUCGGUUGCACGGCCUGUGCAUCUGUUGUUCCCAGCACUCUGCAAGGCUAGAAAAAGAUGAGGCACCUGUCCAGAAUCCUUGCAGGUUUCUGAAGCCAGAAGAUCUCCCUUCCGCUCCCAGCCGCUCCAGUGUAAAUUCCCCUUCCCGAACCUGGGGAAAUGCACUACCUUGUUUUGGGGGGUUUAGGGUGUUUUUUGUUUUUCAGUUUUUUGUUUUGUUUUGUUUUUUCCAUUGCCUUUUUUUCCCUUUUAUUUGGAGGGGAUGGGAGGAAGUGGGAGGUGGGUGGUGGAUUUUGAUUUUUUUUUUAAGAUCAUUUCCAAGGGGUGGGAGUCUUUUUUUUUUAAUAUGUAUCAUGAAUAAAGUUGUUUUUGAAAAUAAAAAAAAAUGGGCAAAAGACAAAUAGACAUCUCACCAAAGAAGAUAUACAAAUGGCCAAUAAACACAUGAAAAGAUGCUCAACAUCAUUAGCCAUUAGGGAAAUGCAAAUCAAAACCUUGAUGAGAUACCAUUUUAUACCCACUAUAAUUUAUUGGCUACUAUUUUAUUAAAAGAUGGAAAAACAACAAGUGUUGGAGAGGAUGUGGAGAAAUAGGCAUACUUAUUCCUUAUUGGUGUGAAUAUAAAAUGGUGCAGCUGCUGUGGAAAACAGUUUGGCAGUUCCUCAGAAAGUUAGGUAUAGAAUUACCAUAUGACCUGACAAUCCCUUUACUAGGUGUAUACCCAAAUUAAUUGAAAGGAGGGACUUGAACAGAUAUUUGUACACCAAUGUUCUUAGUGUUAUUAUUCACAACUGGCAAAAGAUGGAAGCCACCCAAGUGUUCAUGGACAGAUGAAUGGAUAAACAAAAUAUGGUAUAAACCUAUGAUGGAAUAUUAUUUAGCCAUGAAAAAGAAUGAAGUUCUUAUACAUGCUACAGCAUGGAUGAACCUUGAAGACUUCAUGUUGAGUGAAAUAAUCUAGACAAAAAAGAUAAAUAUUUAUGAUGUCAUUGAUAUGAAUUAAUUAGAAUAAACAAAUUCACAGAGUCAGAAACAAAAAUAAAAGUUACCAGGGGCUGGGGUGGGGAUAAGGAAUGGGCAGUUAGCACUUAAUCUGUAUAAAAUUUCUAUUUGGGGCAAUGGAAAAUUUGGGUAAUGGAUGUUGGUAAUAGCAGAACAUUGUGAAUGUAAUUAACAUCAAUGAAUUAUAUAUUUAAGUGUGAUUUAAAGGGGAAAUAUUAGUUUGUGUAUAUGUUAUUAGAAUAAAAAUUUUUAAAACAACAACAUAGGACUAUGCAACACAAACAAUGAACUCUAAGGUAAACUAUGGACUAUAGUCAAUAGUAUAAUUAUAAAAAUAUCAUCAAUUGUAACAUGCACCAAAUUAAAGCAAAGGAUUAGUAACAGGAAAAACUGUGAGUGUGGGGGAACUCUGUAUUUUCUGCAUGAUUUUUCUGUAAACUUACAACUUCUUGAAUAAAAAAAGAAAGAAAGAGAGCCUGUGCCCUGGCAUCUACAGCCAUGAAGGUUAAGCUCUGCAGUUUCAGUGGGUACAAAAUCUAUCAUGGAAAUGGGGGGCAGUAUUCCAGGACUGAUGGCAAGGUUUUCCAGUUUCUUAAUGCAAAAUGUGAAUCAAUAUUCCUUUUCAAGAGGAACCCUCCGCAGAUAAACUGGACUAUCCUCUACAGAAGAAAGUAUAAAAAGGGACAGUCGGAAGAUAUUUUAAAUAAAGAGAACUCGUGAUUUAGUCAGAUUAUCACUGGUGCAUUGCUUGCUGAUAGUAGGCCAAGAGGAAUCAGAAACCCAAAAUUAGAAAGGUGCAACAAAAGCAAGCUAUCAGGGCUGCCAAAGAAGCAAGAAAGGCUAAGCAAGCAUUAAAAAAAAGACAGCAAUGGCUGCUGCUGAGACUCCCAUAAAAGCAGCACCUAAACAAAAGAUUGUGAAGCCUGUGAAAGUUUCUGCUCCCUGAGUUGGUGGGAAACACUAUGCUGGCAAAUCAGAUUUUUAAUUAAAUAUGUGACUGUAACUCAGAAAAAUAAAAAGAACCAGAAACAAAAGAGGUAAUGACAAUUAAAUGAUUGUGAAUGGGUUCUAAGAAUGGAAGAAAAAAUUCUCAGAAAGUUGUUAUUGGGACAUAAGAAAAAAUUGGUAUAUGGAAUAUAAGCUUUAUAUCACUGUUAAAUAUCUUGAACUUAUCUGAUAACUGUACUAAAGAUGAUGACAUAAAUGAAUAUCCUUGUUCUUACGAAAUUUAUAUGGAUGUAUUAUGUGUUCAGGGAGUAUGAUAUAUGCAACCUACUCCAAAUGUUCAGAAAACAGAUAAGAUAUAGAUGAGGGGAUAGAUAGAUAGAAUGAUAUGGCAAAUGUGGCAAAAUGUUAAAAUUAGUAGAUCUGGGUAUUUGGGGAGGGUGGCAUAUGUUGGAGUUCUCUGUGUGGGUUUUUAACAAUUUUUUUGCAAGAGUCCUAUAGGUUUGAAAUUAUUUCAAAAUGAAAAGUUUAAAAAACCAAAAAGGAGCUCCUCCACAAGGAGGUCGGCAGCAUGGACUCAACAUCCUAGAGCUGGAAGGGACCUCAUUCAUUCCACCCACACAACAUAUCUUUUAGGGAGCAGAAGGAGGACACAGAGAGAGGCAUAGAGAGGGAAAGAGGACUCCUAUGACUCCAAAGCCCCCAGCUAGUGAGUGACAGGAUUGUAUGACAGCAUAAGGCCUGCCCAGCCCCCGGGCUGGUACACUCUCCCUUCAGCCCUCCCUGUACCUCUGCAUUUUCCAACAGCUUGGGUUGCUACUCCACUCUUCCACAGAGCCCCUUCCUUGUUUCUAUGGGCAUAUUCUGUGUGUGUGUGUCUGUCUGUCUGUCCCUCGGCCCCAGUUAGGAUCAGGUCAG
rnacentral:lncRNA from 1 species